AUUGAACGCUGGCGGCAGGCCUAACACAUGCAAGUCGAGCGGAUGAAGGGAGCUUGCUCCUGGAUUCAGCGGCGGACGGGUGAGUAAUGCCUAGGAAUCUGCCUGGUAGUGGGGGAUAACGUCCGGAAGCGGGCGCUAAUACCGCAUACGUCCUGAGGGAGAAAGUGGGGGAUCUUCGGACCUCACGCUAUCAGAUGAGCCUAGGUCGGAUUAGCUAGUUGGUGGGGUAAAGGCCUACCAAGGCGACGAUCCGUAACUGGUCUGAGAGGAUGAUCAGUCAUAGUGGAACUGAGAGACGGACCAGAUUCCUAAGGGAGGCAUCGAUAGGGACUAUUGGACAAUGGGCGAAAGCCUGAUCCAGGAACGCCGCGUGUGUGCAGAAGGUCUUCGGAUUGUAAAGCACUUCAAGUUGGGAGGAAGGGCAGUAAGUUAAUCCCUUGCUGUUUUGACGUUACCAACAGAAUAGCCACCGGCUAACUUCGUG
rnacentral:rRNA from 1 species